rnacentral:misc_RNA from 1 species
UGGCUCUCCCAUCGAUGAAGAACGCAGCGAAAUGCGAUAAGUAAUGUGAAUUGCAGAAUUCAGUGAAUCAUCGAAUCUUUGAACGCACCUUGCGCCCUUUGGUAUUCCGAAGGGCAUGCCUGUUUGAGUGUCAUUAAAUUAUCAACCUUUUUGCUUUGCUUGCGAAGCAUCUAGGCUUGGAUGUGGGGGUUUUUGCUGGCUUCCUUCAGUGGAUGGUCUGCUCCCCUUAAAUGCAUUAGCGGGAUCUCUUGUGGACCGUCACUUGGUGUGAUAAUUAUCUAUACCACUUGGCCUUGAAGCAAAUCUUAUGAGGACCCGCUCAUAACCGUCCCUCUGGGACAACUCUUGACAUUUUGACCUCAAAUCAGGUAGGACUACCCGCUGA